UCUUGUUUGGUUCCCCCCCAAAUUCUGGAGUGUUUAUGUUUAUGAUUUGGUUUUCUGGUGUUUUGACCUUGCCUCUUGGUUUGUUUUUGACUACACUUUUGGAUUUGCCCUCUUUGGAUUUGUCUGCUUUCUGUGGCCUGCUUUUUUGGAUUUCUGACCCCCUGCUUGUUAUUACCUACCUUGCAUCAGGAAUUAAACUUGCACUUGACUCCUGCCCCUCGUGUGAAGCAUUGACAGAAGACUUCACCUUAUUAUGGAGUCAGCAAGUUUGGAGGAGCGUAUGAACAAACAGGAACAGCAGUUGGAGGAACUAUGUGGUAUGUUGCAACAAUUGCUGAAACGCUCUGACCAGCCCAGCAUAGCCUCCACAUCUCCAACAGUUCCUCCAGAACAAAACUCCUCCACCUCAACUAUACCCACCUCGCGUCCCCCGGUUUCCAUUGCCCUCCUAGAAAGGUAUGAUGGCUCUCCCGACCUCUGUCAGGGGUUCUUGAUGCAGUGCAGUAUGUUCAUUGAAAUCACCCAGAGCAGUUUCUGAUGGAGAUUGAGAAGAUUCAUUUUGUAAUCUCCUUGCUAACUGGGAAGGCUAAGCACUCUGGGCCCAGAAUAGUGACAUUCUGAAAUCGGAGACAUGCUUUCUGAAUUCUUUUAAGGUGUUUAAUCACCUGUUGACUGGACGUGAUGUGGGAAAUUCCCUAUGCGAUAUUCGUCAGGGAAAACGCUUUGCAGCAGAUCAUGCACUAGAGUUCUGGACCUCUGCAGCAGGUAGUGGCUGGAGUGAGGUCGCACUGCUCACAGUGUAUGAGAGGAUUGAGGAGGGAUCUCCAGGCUGAAAUGGUCUGUCAAGGUGAGCAAUUGACUCUAGAUCACUUUAUUCAAACCUCAAUUGCUUUGGAUGGUUUGGUGCGUGAGAGGAACAGCCUGCAGUGACCAUCUAUAACCACUCCAGUCACCCUGGCCUCGAGUACUGAAGCCGAACCCAUAGAAUUAGGGAGAACACGUCUACCAGAGUCAGAAAGACGUCGUCGCUUGAGAGAGAACCUCUGUCUAUAUUGUGGUCGUAUUGGUCACCUAGUUCUUCUAGGACGUUGGAGAGGUGUUUUUUGUCACAGCCUUGAUUGAUUCAGGAACGGCUGGAAACUUCAUUGAUGCAGAUCUGGUCCGACGUUGGAAGGUUCCAAUAGAAGCCAUAAAUCCUCCCUUGAAUCUGCCGUGGAUGACUGACCACUGGGUAAAGGCCAAGUGACUGAGAGAACUAGUUUAUUGACUAUGAAGGUGGGAUUGGUGCAUGAAGAGAACAAACUUUUAUGUGAUUUGUUCUCCUAAGGACCCGAUUAUUCUGGGUUAUCCGUGGUUAGUGCAUGACCCUUCAUUAUCUGGAGCAAGGGUGAGCUUAGUCAAUGGGGUCAAAAUUGUUUUAAAACUUGUAUCACUCUGCCUCUGCGAGCUACCAAUAGAGUUCUGGUGUUUCUACUGAGAAUAACAUUCCACAAUGCUAUGCAGAUUUUGCAGAUGUAUUUUCUGAGCAAAAAGCCAGUGAAUUGCCACCUCAUCGUCCCUAUGACUGUGCUAUAGACUUGUUACCUGGCACUAUACCACCUAAGAACAGAAUCUACCCCCUCUCUCAACCUCAAUCUAAGGCACUGGAUGAGUACAUUGAUGAAGCUCUUAAAUGGGGUUACAUUCGACCCUCCACUCCUCCUGCAGCAGCUAGCUUCUUCUUUGUAGAAAAGAAAGAUGGUGGGUUACGUCCUUGUAUUGAUUACCAAGGUUUAAAUGCAAUAACUGUGAAAUAUCGAUACCCCCUCCCAUUGGUACCCGUAGCACUCGAACAGUUGAGAGGCUGCAUUUUUUACCAAAUUAGACCUGCGCAGUGCCUAUAACUUAAUCAGGAUAAGGGAGGGGGAUGAAUGGGAAAACUGCAUUUCUAACCACUAGAGGGCACUAUGACUACUGUUAUGCCGUAUGGCCUGGCAAAUGUGCCUUCCAUCUUCUAAUCGUUUAUAAAUGACGUGUUAAGAGAGAUGCUUGAUCAGUGGGUUGUUGUCUACAUCGAUGACAUUUUGAGAUUCACAAACUUUGGAAGAACAUCAACAUGUUGGACUGGUUCUUCAAAGGCUGUGUGAGAACCAUUUGUUUGUCAAAUCAGAGAAGUGUGAAUUUCUAAAACUAAGAUUUCUUUUCUAGGUUAUGUACUUGAGCAGGGUGGUGUGAGCAUGGAUGAAACCAAGGUAAAUGCUGUAAAUAACUGGACUAGGGCUCAAUCAGUAAAGGAGUUGCAGAGGUUUCUGGGAUUUGCAAACUCUUACAGACGUUUCAUUCGGGGAUUUAGUUCUAUUGCUGCACCUUUAACUUCCUUGUUAAGGAAUAAGAGUAAGACUCUGAAGUGGGAUCUUAAAGCAGAGGAGGCUUUUGUGUCUUUAAAGAAUCGGUUAAUUUCUGCUCCCAUACUGAAACAUCCAGAUCCCUCAGAGCCGUUCAUUGUGGAGGUGGAUGCUUCAGGUUCGGGGGUCGGCGCUUUACUUUCACAGAGAACCGGCUCACCUAGGAAACUCUAUCCUUGCGCCUUCUUUUCUAGGAAACUCAAUGCAGUAAUGCAGAACGUAAUUAUGAUGUGGGCAACAGAGAAUUACUAGCGAUGAAACUAGCCUCUGAAGAAUGGAGGCAUUGGUUAGAGGGAGCUAAUCACCCAUUUGUACUAUUUACAGAUCAUCGUAACCUUGAAUAUAUCAAAACAGCCAAACGACUUAAUCAUGGCAAGCUAGAUGGGCAUUGUUCUUUUCAAGGUUUAGUUUUCAUGUUACAUAUCGUCCUGGUACAAAGAACACUAAAGCAGAUGUAUUGUCUAGAUUGUGGGAAGCAGAACAGCCUCAGAAUAUUGAGGAAGACAUUCUCUGUUCUGACUGUGUUGUGGCUCCGAUCCGGUGGGAAAUCAUGGAUGACGUUCGGAGGGAAAGAGAAAAUUAACCAUCUCCUCCAGAUUGCCCACUAGAUCGUGAGUAUGUACCCACAGCAAUGCGGUCAAAACUUCUACAGUUGGUACAUGCUACACCAAGUUCUGGUCAUCCUGGUAUUAAUAAAACCAUUGGCUUACUUGGGAA